rnacentral:sRNA from 1 species
CCUCGCUACCUGCAAUAGUAUUGUCGUCUUUCGUACCAAUAUCACUCCGCCCUUUCUUUUAUUCAAUCUACGCAUCCCCUCGUCUAUUCUGGCCGCCUUGUUUCCCCUUGAACCUUGCCACAUAACACAAAACGCAAAACGCUCGCAUGCAAGGCAGAUGCCGGCGGCACCUGACGUUUGGUAAACCGCCGGCUGCAGUAAUGUCUUAAUAAUCGGUCACCGACGUUGCAUUUGUUAAUUAUUGCACAUGUAAACGGCGCCUCAUACGUGUACUCUCAUACAUAACGAACAUAUGAAUGAACAACCAGACAACAUCAAUGCCCUCCCUUGAUCCACGGUAAAGCUCCUUGUAUGAUGCAAACCACGAAGGUAUCCGUAUAACAUUAUCCAAUCAGAUCUUCACCAAAGCAACCAGCAAAGAGCUUUCGAACAAAAAGCAUCCUUUGAAAGACAAGCAACCAACGGUCGCGAGGGCCCCAUUAAUUAACAAAAUAUACGCGAUGAGUACGGUUGAGAGAGCUGAAUGCAUGCAUAUAUGAUUCAUGCAUGAUUAUUUAUAAAGGUCCAACAACAGAAUGUCUCUAUAACGAUCGGUCUAUCAUUCUGGCGCUCGUUCAAAGUCCUUACAACCCUUGCACCAGCCCUCCUUCUCCUUCAUCGCUUUCUCCUUCCACCACUUCGCCCUCCCUCAACACCUUCCAGCCCACUUUUUCAAGCCCCGGUAUCUUAUACUUUGGGCUAACAACCCAUUCCCAUCCACCAUCCGCGUUCGCUUCAACAUUCGCAUCAAUGUUCGGUCUAAUAUCCGCACUGCCGUUCGCUUCUGCCCUCUGCUUCGUAUCUGCCCCCUUUGGACCGAUCCUCGAUCCAGCAACAACAUCCACGCCGGAUUCAGGGUCUUCAUCGGGAGGAGAAAGAUCUCGGGUGCAAGCUGAAAUGAAUUCCGAGACGGGCUUGAGAACCCAGCGCUGCUUGGAUUUGGUUUUGUCGAAGAAAGGACCAUCGAACCACCCGAGAUGGCCUAUAUGGAUUGCAAAUCAGUCUCACUAUCAAAGAGAAAUAGAAUGGAGAAGAAGUAGAAACGAGAGACGAACCACCUCCGCCUGUGACAGCAGUGUAAAUGUGUGAGGAGGCCACAAAUUCAUCGAGCGGCAAAGCACCUAUAGAAAAGGUGACGGGAUUAGCCCAUAGUUCAUGCCGUACGGUUUGACAAAAAGACAUACCUCCAUCCACGACAGGAUCGUCGAAUGCAUUGAUAGCAAACAAUGGGCUAAUUUGGGGGAACGAC